rnacentral:lncRNA from 1 species
ACGGGACACCUGCAUCUGCCAACAAGACUGGAAGCAGAAAGGGACAGAGACGGCGAAGUUUGACGGUCUGGAAAGCAGAGACCAGCAGGGCUGACUGCUUGGGAGCACCAAAUAUCCGGACAGCGCCUCUCGGGAGGUCCGAGAAGAGAACCGCGAUCUGUUUCAGCACCGGGGCUCAGGACAGUUCCCAGCGGGCUCCGUUUCGUCUCCAGAACCCUGGACAGCUCCUCCAGCCUCCCAAAGUGCUAGGAUUACAGGCGUGAGUCACUGCGCCUGGCCCAAGUCCGGAAUUUUCAACAGGACAUGGGUGUUACUGUGCCCAUGUGACAUUUGGGGAACCCAAGGCCCUGAGAAAGGCAGAAAAAUAACCCACGCAGGGACUCUCAGCCCACAAGUGAAGCUCUUGGAAUGCACUCCCUCCACCUCCAACCAGAGCUCCCCACAACUGACCCUGCCUUCUUCUGCAAGCUCCAUUUCAUCAAGGGAAACGAUCCUUAUUGCCUCACCAUUUCCCACGUGAAGUCUGUAUUGACAUUCUCAUAGACCUGGGAUAUUGUGUCUGCAGCACAUAGUCCAAUUAUUUUCAUGUUAUCUACUGACAGGUCUAUUUGUCUCCCUGUUACACUGUGAGCUCCGUGAGGGCAGAAACAAUGUUAGUAUUUUCACUGCUGUGUCCCCAGCGCCUGGUCCGGGGCCCGGCACACAGCAGGCAUAUAAUAAGCAUGUGUUGAAUCAAUAAAGGCAUCAAAGAAUAAACCAAUACAUCAAUCAAUAAAUGAAUGAAUGGCCUCAGC